rnacentral:rRNA from 1 species
CUAAGCGGGAAACCCACCUCAAAACGAGUAUUCCCUUGAGAACCGUGGAAGACGACCACGUUGAUAGGCCGGGUGUGGAAGUGCGGCAACGCAUGUAGCUUACCGGUACUAAUCGUUCGAUUGGCUUGAUUGC